GCAUUGGUAGUUCAGUGGUGGAAUUCUCACCUUCCGUGUGGGAUACCUGGGUUUGAUUUCUGGCCAAUGUG
rnacentral:tRNA from 1 species